GGCAGCUGCAGCUCCAGGAGGACCAUGUCAGAGGGACAGGCAGGCCCUUGUUGAGCACGUUCAUGAACAGAAGCAGCAGAAGUCCCUGUUCUCCUAGAGCUGUGCUAGGGUCGGGGGAGGGGAAGCAGAUGAUAUGCCAGGUGGUGAGAGUGAUAAGAAGAAAAAUAAACCAGGCUGAGGGGAGAGAGAACAUUCCCUGCGGAGUGAGCGGCGAGUGGACAGGAGGAGCACCUCACGCUUCCCUUGCAACAGGGGAGGAGGCCGGCGAGGCUGGGGCAGAGUGGACGAGAGGAAAGAGGCAGGAAAGGAAUGGAGAGGCAGGGGGUCCUGGCAGUCCCACCUGGAGACAGGGUCUCGCGCUGUAGCCCAGGCUGGAGUGUGGUGUAGUGGUGUGAUCUCGGCUCACUGCAACCUCCGCCUCCCAGGUUCAAGUGAUUCUCUUGCCUCCGCGUCCUGAGUAGCUGAGAUUACAGCCACACCUGGCUAAUUUUUGUACUUUUACUAGAGAUGGGGUUUCACCAUGUUGGCCAUGCCGGUCAUGAACUCCUGACCUCAAGUGAUCCGCCUGCCCUGGCCUCCCAAAGUGCUGGGAUUACAGAUGUGAGCCACCACGCCCAGCCAUGCUCGAUGAUUCUUGACGGGCCCUGGAUCCAGCUGACAGCCACCCGGGAGCCGCACCACGGGGAAUGCUGCGUAGGUUCUCAAGUGCACAUCUCACAGCUUCGCUGACAGAUUCCCAGUAAUUUCUUCCUGGUGGAUCAGAAUUAAUCCUGAAAAGGCUGUUGCCUUUGUUACUU
rnacentral:lncRNA from 10 species